rnacentral:rRNA from 1 species
AUUGAACGCUGGCGGCAUGCCUUACACAUGCAAGUCGAACGGAUUGAGGGGCUUGCUCCUCAGUUAGUGGCGAACGGGUGAGUAAUGCAUCGGAACGUGCCUAGUUGUGGGGGAUAACUACUCGAAAGAGUAGCUAAUACCGCAUACGUCCUGAGGGAGAAAGCGGGGGAUCGCAAGACCUCGCGCAAUUAGAGCGGCCGAUGUCAGAUUAGCUAGUUGGUAGGGUAAAAGCCUACCAAGGCGACGAUCUGUAGCUGGUCUGAGAGGACG